GAGUCUUUGUUUUGGGAUUGUGACCAACAGAAGUGAUCAAACUGGGCGAAAAUCGAAUAUGUUAUAGUUUAUAAUAUUAUACAUAAACUUGAACACCCAAAACAGAACCAUGGCCAGUGCAAAAAGUUCAACGAAAGGAGAAUAUCAUGUAGCAGGAAAGUAUCGAUUAGUAAGAAAAAUCGGGAGUGGAUCGUUUGGCGAUAUAUACCUGGCCAUGAAUAUUGCAAAUGGAGAGGAGGUGGCUGUUAAGUUAGAGUCUGUCAAAGCCAGGCAUCCCCAGCUGAUUUAUGAGAGCAAGUUGUACAAGAUUCUACAGGGAGGGGUCGGAAUCCCACACAUAAGGUGGUGGGGAGUGGAGAAGGAUUAUAACGUUCUAGUGAUGGAUCUACUUGGGCCCAGCAUAGAGGAUCUCUUCAACUUCUGCUCGCGCAAAUUCAGCUUGAAAACCGUUCUCAUGUUAGCGGAUCAGAUGAUUAAUAGAAUCGAGUUUGUUCACACCAAAAAUUUCAUCCACCGAGACAUUAAACCCGACAACUUCCUGAUGGGGAUCGGCCGGCAUUGCAAUAAGGUUUAUCUAAUAGACUUUGGUCUAGCCAAAAAAUUCAGGGAUAGCCGCACCAGACAGCACAUUCAGUACCGCGAAGACAAAAACCUGACAGGCACAGCCCGAUACGCCAGCAUCAACGCCCACCUGGGCAUUGAACAGAGUCGCCGCGACGACAUGGAAUCCCUGGGAUAUGUGCUCAUGUAUUUUAACAGAGGUUCUCUCCCUUGGCAAGGGUUAAAGGCUGGCACAAAGAAACAGAAAUAUGAGAGGAUCAGUGAGAAGAAGAUGUCCACACCUGUCGAGGUCCUGUGUAAGAACUUCCCUGCCGAGUUUGCAAUGUAUCUUAACUACACCCGAGGUCUGAGGUUUGAGGAGCCCCCCGAUUACAUGUAUCUGAGACAGUUGUUUCGAAUCCUCUUCAGGACAUUGAACUAUCAGUACGACUACGUAUUUGAUUGGACGAUGCUCAAACAAAAGGCAGCUAACUCUGCAACAGUCGCAAACGGUGGAACAACACACAUGGCUACAGUUGGUCGCUGAAAAAUGAGGGAGAGAAAAAGGCAACAGCAACUUUAGAAAUCAGUUCUUUUCUUUCUGUGUGUGAAAAAAAUGGUGGAUUCAUCAAGUUUCUUCUAGGUCAUGUGACCUACUUAAAAGUCUGGCCACCAGGAGCGCUUCAUGCCGGCAAUUCUCCCUACAGAGGGUGCAGCUGAUUAUCAUCCUGUCGCUAUGUAAGGAAGGAUCUCGUCUUCAAGUGAAGACUCUAAAAACUGUGUUUCUUUAUUGGGUGCAAUUUUGCAUGUACAUUCAAUUUUCUGUGCUAUAACUGGAGAAAAAAGAAAAUGGUCAUGUUUAACCAUUGUGUGCUUGUCCCGAAGGAGUUUUGUUGUAGGCAAUUCUUACCUGUGGUUGAGUAAAUUUGAAAAUUGAAGAAAAAAAAGAAUGAAAAAGAAAUGAAAUUAUGGGAGGGUACAUCAUUGUUUGUAAGAAUGAUUUUAUCGUUGGUGUCAUUACAAUGUUUUUAAAUAGAUUUGUACAUGCAGCAUUGACCAUUGGUUCUAGAUGAUAUGUAGUUAGCACUAGUGCAGAGAAGGAUGAAAAAACCAUAGAAGAUAGUUAUGGUGAAGGAAAAUUGUUCGAAUAUUGUAGAUUGUUUUCAGAUUUGUUAUCAGUAGUGAAAUCGUUUGUUAACGAACACACAAAUUUUAAGUGUUUGUUAAAGAUAUAAGGGUUUUCUUGUGUAAUACAACAUUAACUAGUAUUCAUUAUGUUAAAAAUAAACUCAAAAUAUACAUGUACCCGGUAUAUAUUUGAAAGGAUUAAAUGGAUAGUUUAAAUUCACAAUCUGUAAUAUAUAAUUGAUUUUAUUAAUUCACAUAUUAAUCUUAAUUUUACGUUUUUAUUUUCAUUUUAGGUUGUCUAUAUAGUACAACCACUCAUAAUGUAUCAAUUAAUGCAGAUCAAUUUCUAUUAUGAAAAAUUGGUGUUUUACAAGUUUUACUUGUUGACUUGAACGUUAAUCUUUAUUAUCUUACGAGAUUUUUUUUUUUAAAGAAUUGCCAAAAGCAAUAUAUUUUGCGCUAAAUGCGUUCAUGAGUGGAAUUUGUUUUUGCAGUGUUUUUCAGUCUGUAUAAUCCUGGGGUAGUCUUUUUAGUUUUAUGCUUAUUAUGCAUGUGUUAUAAAUUUGUGAUAUAUAUAUAAUUUUUUUAUUGUCGUGUGAACGUACAUCAUGAAUGCAUUUUAUUCUUUUACCAAAUUUUCAACUUGUAGUCUUGUGUAACCAUAUCUGUGUGAGAUGUCUGCAUCGUCCAUUUGUGAGUUAUGUUAGGGAGAAUGAAUAUCAAGUUGUUAAGUGUAUGUAGUGAUUGAUAUUGAAAGUUUUUUUGGUUUAGCAUGUGAUAUACAUGUAAAUAUUAAUGUUAUGAUGAGAGACAUAAACUCUUUAUUACCCUGUCCUGGGCCUCUUAAUCGACAUUGAAUAACCUCUUUAUGUAGUGUGGUUUAUUAGUGAUAGUAUAUUGUGGAGAGUAAAUGAAAUUUAUUUCUGCUUUGGCAUGAUUGGAAAGAACAUCAAACGUUUGAAAGACAUUUUUAUUUUUUUAUUUUUCUGAUGAAUGGAGUCAAAUUUUAUAUGAAUGAAGAGGUCACUAAUAUUGUGUCUGUCUUAUAAAAAUAUUUUUUUUUUAUCAGCAGGAACUGUUGUAAUGGAGAUUAUGUGAACUGUUGUAUUGGAGAUUAUGUGUCAGAAUAAUCAAAACUACCAUUCAUAAUCAUGAACACUGUUUACAGUGUAUGAUCAACUUGUAUGUGUAAAUCUUCUCCAAGACUUUGUUAUAAACUAACCAUUAUGC
rnacentral:misc_RNA from 1 species